GACGAACGCUGGCGGCGUGCUUAACACAUGCAAGUCGAACGGAAAGGCCCCUUUGGGGGUACUCGAGUGGCGCACGGGUGAGUAACACGUGAGUAACCUGCCCUUGACUUCGGGAUAACUUCAGGAAACUGGGGCUAAUACCGGAUAGGAAUCCUUGCUGCAUGGUGGGGGUUGGAAAGCUUCGGCGGUUUUGGAUGGACUCGCGGCUUAUCAGCUUGUUGGUGGGGUAGUGGCUUACCAAGGCUUUGACGGGUAGCCGGCCUGAGAGGGCGACCGGCCACAUUGGACUGAGAUACGGCCCAGACUCCUACGGGAGGCAGCAGUGGGGAAUAUUGCACAAGGGGCGGAAGCCUGAUGCAGCAACGCCGCGUGCGGGAGGACGGCCUUCGGGUUGGAAACCGCUUUCAGCAGGGGCGAAGCUUGUGGUGACGGUACCUGCAGAAGAAGCACCGGCUAACUACGUG
rnacentral:rRNA from 1 species